GAUGAAGAACGUAGCGAAAUGCGAUACUUGGUGUGAAUUGCAGAAUCCCGUGAACCAUCGAGUCUUUGAACGCAAGUUGCGCCCGAAGCCACUAGGCCGAGGGCACGCCUGCCUGGGCGUCACACGCCGUUGCCCCCCCAUCUACUCCUUCGGGAUUGCGGGGGGGCGGAUGAUGGCCUCCCGUGCGCCUAGCCGCGCGGUUGGCAUAAAUACCAAGUCCUCGGCGACGCAUGCCACGACAAUCGGUGGUUGCGAAACCUCGGUUGCCCGUCGUGUGCGUUCGUCGCGCAUCGAGGGCUCGAAAAAAUGCUCGGCUCCGGCUGGGCUUUCAACGCGACCCCAGGUCAGGCGGGGUUACCCGCUGAAUUUAAGCAUAUCAAUAAGCGGAGGA
rnacentral:misc_RNA from 1 species